UUGGAAUAAUAUAAUACAAGAGUAAUAUAUUGAGAACUGACUAUAUUAUUCUAAUAAUUUAAGGAUCAUCACAGUCAUACUCCUGCUGAAUCAAUACAGGACUCAAAUGAAGAAGACUAUGAGAACAUAGUGAUGGAGACCCAAACAUCUGCAGACAUUACAACCAGACCAGGUUGAAGUGCCAGUUUGCUGGUUCAGAUCCCAAGAUUGGCAAAAGACCCUUUAGAUUACAUAUUUUUCUUUGUGACUAAAUGUAAAUGUUGUGCAGUACAUUGUAACAAAUAAAAAUUAUGCAACACAGCAUCAAUUUAGCUUAUUUACACAAAUGAGACAGACAAAGAAUGGACAUUUUCUUUGAAAAUGGAAAUAUUCUGAAGUUUUUUAGUACAGAAGAACAUAAAAAGUGUUACCGUGUGGACCAAACAAGACAAGACCAGAACAGCAUCAUCAGUUG